rnacentral:lncRNA from 1 species
GCCUAUUGAGCUUAUCAUCCAUCACUGCUGCCAUGUCCAGGAACUCACAUGCUAGCUGGUCGGUGGGGAAAGAGGCAAGAAGAAGGGAGCUAGCGGAGCAGGCAUAUUGGGGAAAUCUCCCCCCUCUGCCAAUGUGUGAGCGGUCAAAGUGCCACGUGUGAGACGGUUAAUGCCUCUCCGACGAGUUUUUUUUUUGGAAGAAUCUCCGAUGAGGUUUUUUUAGGGAAAAUCUCCGACGGGUUUAGGAGCCACGUAAGCAAUGUAAACAAAAGCAGUUUUACAUCUUGGUAAUAAUAGGCCAAUGUAUUUUACUCUAAGUUUCAUUUAAGACAAUUUUUUCACCGAGUCGAUAAAACUCGACGUGCGGUGAAGUUUGAAAAAUGUCUUUAAUUUAGUACAAAGUUAUACUAAAUCAGCGUCACUUAUUAUGGAUUAGAGAAGGAGUAGUAUAAUUGGCCUGGACAAAAAAAAAUUGGCCUGUAUGAAGAUUAAUUAGAUCCUUGUAUUAUCUUUAGUAACAUUGAUCUACCGACUACCAGUACUUGACGGCCAAUAUGAGAUUUCAGUAUUUUUCUCAAGUUAAACCUAUUUUUUUAAGG